rnacentral:rRNA from 1 species
ACUCCUACGGGAGGCAGCAGUGGGGAAUAUUGCACAAUGGGGGAAACCCUGAUGCAGCCAUGCCGCGUGUGUGAAGAAGGCCUUCGGGUUGUAAAGCACUUUCAGUAGGGAGGAAGGUAGUGUAGUUAACACCUGCACUAUUUGACGUUACCUACAGAAGAAGCACCGGCUAACUCCGUGCCAGCAGCCGCGGUAAUACGGAGGGUGCGAGCGUUAAUCGGAAUUACUGGGCGUAAAGCGCAUGCAGGCGGCCUGUUAAGUCAGAUGUGAAAGCCCGGGGCUUAACCUCGGAAUUGCAUUUGAAACUGGCAGGCUAGAGUCUUGUAGAGGGGGGUAGAAUUUCAGGUGUAGCGGUGAAAUGCGUAGAGAUCUGAAGGAAUACCAGUGGCGAA